GAUGAACGCUGGCGGCGUGCCUAAUACAUGCAAGUCGAGCGAACAGACGAGGAGCUUGCUCCUCUGACGUUAGCGGCGGACGGGUGAGUAACACGUGGAUAACCUACCUAUAAGACUGGGAUAACUUCGGGAAACCGGAGCUAAUACCGGAUAAUAUAUUGAACCGCAUGGUUCAAUAGUGAAAGACGGUUUUGCUGUCACUUAUAGAUGGAUCCGCGCCGCAUUAGCUAGUUGGUAAGGUAACGGCUUACCAAGGCGACGAUGGGUAGCCGGCCUGAGAGGGUGGGUGGACACCCAGGAACGGAGAGAGGGUCCAGCCUGCCACGGGAGGCAGGAGUAGGGGAUCUUCCGCAAAGGGCGAAAGCCAGACGGAGCAACGGAGGGUGAGUGAUGAAGGACUUCCGAUCGUAAAACUCUGUUAUUAGGGAAGAACAAAUGUGUAAGUAACUAUGCACGUGUUGACGGUACCUAGUCAGAAAGCCACGGCUAACUACGUG
rnacentral:rRNA from 1 species